GCCAUAGCUCAGCAUUAGAGCUUUUGCUUUGGAUGCAUAAAGUCCCAGGUUCAAUCCCCAGCAUCUCCA